GUCCCUUUCAUCUAGUUGGUUAGGAUGCUCGCCUUUCACGCGGACAACACGGGUUCAAGUCCCGUAAGGGAUA
rnacentral:tRNA from 1 species